rnacentral:rRNA from 1 species
GUGGGGAAUAUUGGACAAUGGGCGCAAGCCUGAUCCAGCAAUGCCGCGUGUGUGAAGAAGGUCUUCGGAUUGUAAAGCACUUUCGGCGGGGACGAUGAUGACGGUACCCGCAGAAGAAGCCCCGGCUAACUUCGUGCCAGCAGCCGCGGUAAUACGAAGGGGGCUAGCGUUGCUCGGAAUUACUGGGCGUAAAGGGCGCGUAGGCGGCGGUAGUAGUCAGGCGUGAAAUUCCUGGGCUUAACCUGGGGGCUGCGCUUGAUACGCUAUUGCUAGAGGACGGAAGAGGGUCGUGGAAUUCCCAGUGUAGAGGUGAAAUUCGUAGAUAUUGGGAAGAACACCGGUGGCGAAGGCGGCGACCUGGUCCGUUACUGACGCUGAGGCGCGACAGCGUGGGGAGCAAACAGGAUUAGAUACCCGAGUAGUCC